rnacentral:rRNA from 1 species
AACGUAGGGGGCGAGCGUUAUCCGGAAUCACUGGGCGUAAAGCGCGUGCAGGCGGUCUGGUAGGUUGGACGUGAAAGCUCCUGGCUCAACUAGGAGAGGCCGUUCAAAACCGCCAGACUUGAGGGCGGAAGAGGGGAGUGGAAUUCCCGGUGUAGCGGUGGAAUGCGCAGAUAUCGGGAGGAACACCCGUGGCGAAAGCGGCUCCCUGGUCCGCACCUGACGCUUAGACGCGAAAGCGUGGGGAGCGAACGGG